UACGGGGGGGGCAAGCGUUGUUCGGAAUUACUGGGCGUAAAGGGCUCGUAGGCGGCCAACUAAGUCGGACGUGAAAUCCCCAGGCUCAACCUGGGAACUGCGUCCGAUACUGGAUGGCUUGAAUCCGGGAGAGGGAUGCAGAAUUCCAGGUGUAGCGGUGAAAUGCGUAGAUAUCGGGAGGAACACCUGAGGCGAAGGCGGAUCUCUGGGCCAUUACUGACGCUGAGGAGCGAAAGCGUGGGGAGCGAACAGG
rnacentral:rRNA from 1 species